AAAAAGUUUAGGAAUAUUAAGAAACAUAGUGUUCUUCCUCGUUCCCAGAGUCACCAGUAACAUCCUAAAAUACAAUAGUCAGUCACACCCUAAAAUACAAUAGUGUACAAACGAACAACAUUUGAGUUUUACUUCGUGAUGAACAUCUAACAUAAAAAACGAACAUGGCCUAAGAAAGGAAAUAAUGGCCAACCGAAUUGAUUAUUAAUUCACUUUAUUCCAUGAACGAGUGCUUCGGUUUUUUUAUUGCACGCCUAAUCCAUUUUUAUUCCUCUCCUACGCGAUUUUCGUCAACUUCAUCCUCUUCGUUAUCACCACCAUCAUCUGCAAGCCCUUUGAUGUGUUCUGUUUUCAUUUUAGGUUUUUAACCCGGUUGUUUGUUGAGAUUGAUUGAUUUUUCAAGGUAUUUUGGUUUUCUCGGAGUCUUUCGGUGUUCUGCAUUUUUAUUUCAUUUUUUCAAGGUAUGUUGGGAAAACACGCUAUUGGACAGAAAUUUAGAGCAAAAUAGUAUUGGAUUGACUUGUG
rnacentral:lncRNA from 1 species